CUGCCACGGUAUCUGAAAACUGUCAACCCAGGUUGGCAAAACUGGGGAGCAGCUCAGGAAAGGCGAUGAAGUAGCAGCAGACGAUGGUUGUGAAAGUGAGGCUGCAGAUUGAGAGGACUGAACAGACUGUGGAGAGGAGGAUGCCCCGCCUGAAGUUGAAGCCAUUGAGUCUGGAAAGGAACUACCAGGUGUAAAUGAGAAGCUGUACAUUGUUGUCCUUGUCAAAUAAACAAACAUAUGAAAUAUGA